rnacentral:misc_RNA from 1 species
AACCAUAGAAACCUGCGGAGUACCUGCGGAAGGAUCAUUACCAGAGUGCCUUCAGGCUCUCCAACCCACUGUGAACAUACCUACGUUCCCCCGGCGGGCUCAGCGCGCGGCGGCUCCGGCCGCCCGCGUCCGCCGAGGGCAUCUCAAACCCGAAUUUAUUCGUGUCUUCUGAGGGGCGAAAGCCCGUAAAACAAAAUGAAUCAAAACUUUCAACAAUGGAUCUCAGAUCGGAAGAGCACA